GCCCUCUCUGUAAUAAUCUCACCAGGAAUCAUUACAGGAAUCCCUGGUGGGUAUGGACAUAUAAGCUCACCGCAGACCUUCCCAAGGCUCUCUCUAAUACCCACUUUCCUUUUAUUCGCAAAAAAGGCAUCUCUUGGAUUCAAGCUCAUGCUAAUAUCAGUAAAGGGUGCAUGGCCUCUAUCCUUCACCUUUGUUUCUGUUGUUUCAAUUUGUAAGGAACAUGCUGAUAGC
rnacentral:misc_RNA from 1 species